rnacentral:misc_RNA from 1 species
AAUUUGCUAGCCUUUUUACUUUAGCCACUUCUCCCAACUAAUUAUUAUUAUUAUUAAUUAAUUUUCUUUUUGUGUAAUUUUAUGAUGAUGAUCUAUGUAUUUAUUGUUGGCUCUAGUCUUCUUCAUCUCUCUCUGUUAAAAGGAGAAGUUGUUCCUGAUCCAUGUAUUUUGUGCCCUCUCAUAGUCAUAGGGUUAUUUUUAACUUGUAAGCCAUGAGAAAAAGCUCAAUCUAUUACUUCAGGUUGAGUAAGCAACUUGGGAUCAUAUUAAAUAGUGACCUAAUUGGAUUUAAU